GCGCACGCUGGCGGCAGGCCUAACACAUGCCAGUCGCACGAACCUUUCGGGGUUAGUGGCGGACGGGUGAGUAACACGUGGGAACGUGCCUUUAGGUUCGGAAUAACUCAGGGAAACUUGUGCUAAUACCGAAUGUGCCCUUCGGGGGAAAGAUUAAUCGCCUUUAGAGCGGCCCGCGUCUGAUUAGCUAGUUGGUUGAGGUAAUGGCUCACCAAGGCGACGAUCAGUAGCUGGUCUGAGAGGAUGAUCAGCCACAUUGGGACUGAGACACGGCCCAAACUCCUACGGGAAGCAGCAGUGGGGAAACUUGCGCAAUGGGCGAAAGCCUGACGCAGCCAUGCCGCGUGAAUGAUGAAGGUCUUAGGAUUGUAAAAUUCUUUCACCGGGGACGAUAAUGACGGUACCCGGAGAAGAAGCCCCGGCUAACUUCGUG
rnacentral:rRNA from 1 species